GCGGGGGAAGGUAGCUUGCUACUGGACCUAGCGGCGGACGGGUGAGUAAUGCUUAGGAAUCUGCCUAUUAGUGGGGGACAACAUCUCGAAAGGGAUGCUAAUACCGCAUACGUCCUACGGGAGAAAGCAGGGGAUCUUCGGACCUUGCGCUAAUAGAUGAGCCUAAGUCGGAUUAGCUAGUUGGUGGGGUAAAGGCCUACCAAGGCGACGAUCUGUAGCGGGUCUGAGAGGAUGAUCCGCCACACUGGGACUGAGACACGGCCCAGACUCCUACGGGAGGCAGCAGUGGGGAAUAUUGGACAAUGGGGGGAACCCUGAUCCAGCCAUGCCGCGUGUGUGAAGAAGGCCUUAUGGUUGUAAAGCACUUAAGCGAGGAGGA
rnacentral:rRNA from 1 species